GGGACAUCCUGGGCAGGAGCGCGCUGGGGCCAUGCCCGCUACCCCAGCAGCCGAUUGGUGACUGGCCUUUAGACGUUCCCACGACAACUGGAGAGUGUGAUGCUAAGUGAAAUAAGCCAUACAGAGAAAGACAGAUACCAUAUGUUUUCACUCUUAUGUGGAUCCUGAGAAACUUAACGGAAACCCGUGGGGGAGGGGAAGGAAAAGAAAAGAGGUUAGAGGGGGAGAGAGCCAAAGCAUAAGAGACUCUUAAAAACUGAGAACAAACUGAGUGUUGAUGGGAGAUGGGAGGGAGGGGAGGGUAGGUGAUGGGUAUCGAAGAGGGCAUCUUUUGGGAUGAGCACUGGGUGUUGUAUGGAAACCAAUUUGACAAUAAAUUUCAUAUAUUGAAAAAAAAGAAGAUCACUUGAAAUUGAAUAAAUAAAAAAAAUUAAAGAAAAAAUAAAAAUAGACGUUCCCACGACGUGUCCCCCCUCGCCUUUCUCCGAGUGCCCGCUCUGCAAACACCUCUCUAUCCGUGGGCCGGGCGAGAGCAGGCUCGCUCUGGCGGCUUUUGGGGAGAAGCCGGAACAAGGCAGAUAAAGCGAUCUCUGUGGACUACCCUGGAAACAGGAGUGGUGCUCCUUCGUGAAGCC
rnacentral:lncRNA from 1 species